UCAGGAGGGCAAAGGAGAAGCUGCCUCAUCGACUCCCAGGCAAUGGGGUGCGUGACACAGCAUUGAAGUUCUUACACCGGGAAUUAUGAGACACGGAUCCGGGACUGAGAUCUACUGCCAGCUAUCUGUGUGACCCUGAACCCUUGCCUCCGCCUCCCUACAAUGCAAAUCACAGCGACUACGGCCACACUUGUUGUUCAUCACAGGCAAGGGGUUUUAAAGGUGUGCCACUGACGCUUAAGCACAACUCCGAGGUAGGAAUAGACUCCUCUGAUUCUCAGAGAUGAGGAAGACAGCCCUGAUACCUUGCUCACAACCAUGCAGGCUCAGCUUCACCCAGAGCUUGAAUCAGCUCUGGCUGACUCUUAACCUCCAUGUAUAGCACCCAGCAUUGGUGUUGGGACAAGCCCUGCUCACGCCAUCAUCCCAGUGGCUCCUUGUGAGUAUGACUCACACACCUGGUCUACCACACACCUCAGAGGUACCUUUUUAAUUACAAAAAAAUCAUUUUAAUUGGAAUCUCAGUUUGCCACUGUAACUGGGAAAUCCAAAUCCUUUGUCACAAAGAGAGAGUGUCACAGUCUCUCCCUCCCCACGUGAUGUUAAAGAAAGCUUUGAAUUGAUUCUGGCUCGGUACCUGUGGGAGGCUCUGCAUGGGCCUGCUGUCUGUAAAAUUAAACCAAAAAGCCAAAGAGCAGGGCUGAUGUCUACGAACUCGACAUUCUAGAUGGCUGGGCUGAACUAGCACGUUGGAAACAGAGAGCACAGAGAAGACCAUGCCCCUGCCAUCUAGGUUGGUGCUACUCACAACCAUAUCCCAGAGACGUCACUUGUCACCCUCAGCAGCCAGUGUGCUUCAGAGUCCCUCUAGACUCCUCUUCCUACCUCCAGCUUCUGCUUCCGGGCUUCCGUCUCUUCGUGUAACCCCACUAAUGAGUGCAGACCUGAUGAAAGAAGGGAUUCAGCUUAGUCUGUUUCUUCGGAUGGAUGCUCCACAUACUAUGACCAUCGACUGUGUACCGAGCCAGGACAAUCCUUUGUUCCUGAAGGACUUAGAAGCCACAUGGAGAGGAAAACUGGUCCCACAUGAAUUAUGUCAUCCACUGCUCAUUUUUCCUUAAGAAUGUGCAUAAAGACACAAGGGUGAACUCAAGCCCCAGGACACGAAAAUGAAUGGAGGUGGAUGGAGAAAGUGAAGAUGCUGAUGUGACCCUGGCUUUCCUGGCUGGUCUUAGCUGCAACUGGCUAUAAGCCUCAGGAGAUGGAUGUAGUGAUAUUGUGUUCCCCAAAAUAUUGUGCACCCUAAUAAACUUAUCUGGGGUCAGAGAACAGAACAGCCACUAGACAGAUAUAGAGGCCAGAAAAUGGUGGCACACACACCUUUAAUCCUA